GACAGAGGGUGCAAACGUUGUUCGGAAUUACUGGGCGUAAAGCGCGUGUAGGCUGCUUCGCAAGUCGGGUGUGAAAGCCCUGGGCUCAACCUAGGAAGUGCACUCGAAACUGCGAAGCUUGAGUCCUGGAGAGGAAGGCGGAAUUCUCGGUGUAGCGGUGAAAUGCGUAGAUAUCGGAAGGAACACCAGUGGCGAAAGCGGCUUCCUGGUCCGACACCGACGUUCAGGCACGAAAGCGUGGGGAGCAAACAGG
rnacentral:rRNA from 1 species